GGAGAGAGAGGGCUCAGCCCACUCUAUUAAAGGCCAUUUUGCAUUUAGACCCCUCAGCUUUUCAUCUCUCACGCAGCUGGCACUGGGCAGUUUUCGCCCAGAGGGACCGGUCUCCCCGACAAAGGACCGGUCCCCGAGAGCUCUCCCUGCAGUCUAGGGACUUUUCGCGUUCGGGAACCGGUCCUCACCUUAGGGACCGGUCCCUGGGAGACCGGUCUCUCCUAAGAGACCGGUUCCCGAACGGGGAACCUUCAGGACUUAGCCAAAUUUGGCUUUCUCCCACGGGUGUCGCGCACGGGGACCGGUCCCCUCAGCCAGGGACCGGUCGCAUCGACUUCCAGCGCGACCAUCAGCUACGGGGGACCGGUUCUUCCCUCCAAGGACCGAUCCCCGAGAGCAAAAAUCUGCUGAAUCUAGAUUUCAUCCGUUUGCUCUCGCAGACUCAACUCCAAAGCACUUUUUAUGUUUUG
rnacentral:lncRNA from 1 species